GUUGCCCUGUUGUGUGCGCGACGAGUCCGGCUUUGUUGUGAGCCAACACCUACACAUAGGGAGUUCGGCUCUGGACGUGGCGUGCAAGCCCCGGUGAGCGGGGAAGCCCACAAGCGCCCAGGAGGACACCCACCUGCCAGAGCGCAGGUUCACCAACAGCCGGAUAUGGCGGCACGGCGGGGUUCUU
rnacentral:other from 1 species